rnacentral:rRNA from 1 species
CAGAAAAAGCACCGGCUAACUACGUGCCAGCAGCCGCGGUAAUACGUAGGGUGCAAGCGUUGUCCGGAAUUAUUGGGCGUAAAGAGCUCGUAGGCGGUUUGUCGCGUCUGCUGUGAAAUCCCGAGGCUCAACCUCGGGCUUGCAGUGGGUACGGGCAGACUAGAGUGCGGUAGGGGAGAUUGGAAUUCCUGGUGUAGCGGUGGAAUGCGCAGAUAUCAGGAGGAACACCGAUGGCGAAGGCAGAUCUCUGGGCCGUAACUGACGCUGAGGAGCGAAAGCGUGGGGAGCGAACAGGAUUAGAUACCCUGGUAGUCCACGCCGUAAACGUUGGGCGCUAGAUGUAGGGACCUUUCCACGGUUUCUGUGUCGUAGCUAACGCAUUAAGCGCCCCGCCUGGGGAGUACGGCCGCAAGGCUAAAACUCAAAGGAAUUGACGGGGGCCCGCACAAGCGGCGGAGCAUGCGGAUUAAUUCGAUGCAACGCGAAGAACCUUACCAAGGCUUGACAUACACCGGAAACGGCCAGAGAUGGUCGCCCCCUUGUGGUCGGUGUACAGGUGGUGCAUGGUUGUCGUCAGCUCGUGUCGUGAGAUGUUGGGUUAAGUCCCGCAACGAGCGCAACCCUCGUUCUAUGUUGCCAGCGCGUUAUGGCGGGGACUCAUAGGAGACUGCCGGGGUCAACUCGGAGGAAGGUGGGGAUGACGUCAAAUCAUCAUGCCCCUUAUGUCUUGGGCUUCACGCAUGCUACAAUGGCCGGUACAAAGGGCUGCGAUACCGUAAGGUGGAGCGAAUCCCAAAAAGCCGGUCUCAGUUCGGAUUGAGGUCUGCAACUCGACCUCAUGAAGUCGGAGUCGCUAGUAAUCGCAGAUCAGCAACGCUGCGGUGAAUACGUUCCCGGGCCUUGUACACACCGCCCGUCAAGUCAUGAAAGUCGGUAACACCCGAAGCCGGUGGCCUAACCCU